UUCAGUUGAAUAAGGCUAUGGGAUGGGGAAGGGGCUGAAUAAGGUCCUUUUUCCUUAAGGAGGGAGAGAAGAAGGAUUUGGGUGCUGUUUGUUCCUCAUCCUGCUGCUUUUAGAUGACCUGAGAAAGCAAAUCUCUACUCAUCCCCUCAAGCCGGGAAGUGCCAGGUGCAUGUCUUCUUGGGGACAUCUACCCCAGACUCUUCCAUGCCUUCCGGUUUCUCUCCAGGCCUUCUGCACACCUGCGGAUGUCAUCCGACGGCCUUCCUUCAUGCAAUCUCAGGAAUUCACUUGUGUCCCAGGCCCUGUGGUGCUGUCUUCUAACUCAUUCUGAGAAGUUUCUGGCUGGAGGUCCGAUGCCAUUCUCAUUCCUGAUCCUUUAUAUUUAUCAAGAUCCCCCUACAAGCCACACACCGGAGAUACAACGAUGGAGAAGACAAAGCCGCUAUCUUCAGGGAUUUGAUAGGGCCACGGGAACAUAGGCAGGUGGACAGAAGAUAAAGGCCAUUUCUAGAAUGGAGCAUACCACAGAUACUAAAACAGAAGUUGGAAAGGAUAUCUUUGC